rnacentral:lncRNA from 1 species
GCGCCGCUCGCCCCCGCACGCUGUGCCCCCGCCGCGGGCCGUGCCGGGGGCCGGGGCCCGCGCACCCCCAGCAGCUCGGGGCCCCCGGGCCCCGCUCCGACCCCCGAGCACCGCGCUCCUGGAGCUCGCCGGAGGCCCCCAGGCCGCCCACAGCCCCCCCAGGGCCCACCGCCAGCCCCGAACCGCGCUGCGGAGCGACCGAGCACGGCCGGAGCCACCGGGUCGGGGGUGUAUCGACGGCCCCGGCUGGGGGGCCGCGAAGCACGGGCGAGGAGCAGCAGCCCAAGGGGCCCGGUCCCCCCCCCGCCGCCCCGGGCCCAGGCCCCAGGCGCUGCCGGGCCCCGGGUCCCCUUCCCCGCUGUUAUCGGCCGCCCGGAGCGGGCUGUAAUCGCCUCAGCCCCGGCUCCCCCCCCUAUCUGCCCCUCACAAGGUGCGGGUUCGCCCUCCCCGCUACCGGGAGGCCCGAGGGCUGCGGCGCCCCGGGACGGCUCCGUUCCACGGCCCCGCCGGUCACCGGCCGCUCCCCGAGGCGCCCCUCCCGGUCCCCGUUCACCUCUCGGCGGCUCCCGAGGCGCUCCGUCGGACAGCACCGCCUGCCCUUGGCCCUUCGCGGGGGCAGGGGGUGAACGCGGGCCCGGGAACCGGAAUCCUCUAACGGGAAAGGUCACGGAACGAGGGCUGGGCAUCCCCGGCUGCGCGUCGAGCGCCCCGGCCCGGCGCCGACCGGCGGCUGUGGAUCCCCGGGCACGCGGUCCGGGGGCCGGCCCCGGAGCUACGGGGAGGGAGCAGCGGCACCGCGCAGACCGUGCCCGCAGGCCACGAGGGGGGGCCCGGGGCCGGCCGCCUCGCAUCCCCCGGCGGCACGGGGCGGCAGCUACCGGCCCGGCCCGCAGGAGCUCGCGUCCCUCUCCCGGCCACGCGUGUCCCCGCCGCAGGUGCGCCCUCCACGAGGUCCCUCCACGAGGUCCCGGCAGCGCCCCGCGCCCCCGCCAGGCCGGGAGCAGCAGCCCCGGGGCACCGGGAUCGCGGGGCCGCGCCGCCCGCCCCGAGCCCCCCAACCCGGGGCCCCCCAUCCCCGCCCCGUCUCGGUCCGGUCCGGUGCCCCCGCCACGUGGCCCCGCCGGGCCCUACCUGCGCGUGCAGCCGCCAGCCGAGCGCACCCCCGCCCCCGCCCGUUAUAAGGGCGGCGGGGCCGCGCGGCGGGCGGAGCCGCUGGUGGGGCCUGGGCACGGCCCCGCCCCCCCGCCACGUGCGCGCCCCGGCCCCCAGCGCGCGGCCCCCGCCCGAGCCCCCUCCGGCCCCUCCGCCGCCGCCGUGUGCCCCGGCACGUACCGGGCCCCCCCCCUACCGCCCCCCGCCCCGCCCCGCCCCGCCCCACCGCCAUCCGCCGGGACGGGCGGGAAACGCGGCGCCGGCGCGGAGCGGGCACAGGGAGCGACGCCGGCCGCGGCUGCCCUGAGCCCCGCGGGGACGGGGACCGGGACCGGGACCGGGACCGGGACCGGGACGGGUGCAGUGGGGGCACCGCCGGGCCGCCCGCUGCGGCAUCCCCCGGGGCUUCUCCGUUUGGUUCCCGGGGGGCUCCGCUCGGGCGGGGGCGCGGCGGCGCAGCCCCUCCAGCCCGGCCGCCGGGGGACCCGGUGGUGCCGCCGGCCGAGCCGCGGGCAGCGCUUCCAAGAAGGCGGCGAGGAGCUGCCAGCGGGAGACGACCCGGGGGUGUCGGCGGGGACGGGCGAGCAGCGGGACCCGCAGCAGGGAGCCUGCCCCGGGCCGGCCCCGCGCAGGCCGCGACCCCCGGCGCUGCCCCGGAGCCCGGUGGCGGCAGCCGGGAGAGGCCCCGCUGGGGCCCGGCGGCGCGGGGCCGUGCUCGGAGCCCUGGGCCGGGAGCUGGGAUGUGCUGCCGGGCGCCCCGCUCGCCCCUCGCAGAUUCUGGGGCUGUGCCCGUCGGUUCCGCAGGUAAUAGCCCAGGCCCGGCCGGCUCACUGA